AGGUUUUAAGAAAACCGACCUAAGACAGCAGGGGAGUUAGACUCAUAAACAUCCUGCCGAGGCACAAAAACGUAAACAUCUUAGCUGGUGAAAACUGGCUAGUCUAUAAAACGUAUUUGUACUUUCGUGUCUAGGUUUGGAUGCGAUUUUUUCGUUUCCAGA
rfam:Streptococcus sobrinus W1703 genomic scaffold Scaffold859, whole genome shotgun sequence.